CUUACCUGGGAAAUCCCAUGGACAGAGGAGCCUGACUGUCUACAGUCCAUGGGGUUGCAAAGAGUCAGACGUGACUGAGUGACUGAGCUGAAGAUAAAGUGACUGUCAGAGUUCCAGAUUGUGGCUGUCCCAUGAGUCUGGGUUCCUGAAGCAGUUGGAGGAGGAAAUGGCAACCCACUCCGGUACCCUGCCUGGAAAAUCCCAUGGACAGAGGAGCCUGGUGGGUUGUCCAUGGGGUUGCAAAAGAGUGGGACAAGACCUAGCGACUGAGCACACACUGAAGCAGUGUGGUGAACAUAGACCCACCAACCCACAAUAGUCACACGCAAUAUGCAAGAAUGGAUACGGAAGCUGUGGUACAAUAUACCAUGGAAUAUUACUCAGCCAUUAAAAAGAAUUCAUUUGAACCAGUCCUAAUGAGAUGGAUGAAGCUGGAGCCCCUUAUACAGAGUGAAGUAAGCCAGAAAGACAAAGAACAUUACAGCAUACUAACACAUAUAUAUGGAAUUUAGAAAGAUGGUAACGAUAACCCUAUAUGCAAAACAGAAAAAGAGACACAGAAAUACAGAACAGACUUUUGAACUCUGUGGGA